UACAGAGGGUGCGAGCGUUGUCCGGAAUUACUGGGCGUAAAGCGUGCGCAGGCGGUUUUGUAAGCCAGAUGUGAAAUCCCCGGGCUCAACCUGGGAAUGGCAUUUGGGACUGCAAGGCUGGAGUGCGGCAGAGGAGACUGGAAUUCCUGGUGUAGCAGUGAAAUGCGUAGAUAUCAGGAGGAAUACCGAUGGCGAAGGCAGGUCUCUGGGCUGACACUGACGCUCAUGCACGAAAGCGUGGGGAGCAAACAGG
rnacentral:rRNA from 1 species